GAGAGCAGAAGAACACAGUCCUGAAGUUGAAAAACUGAAUGUGUAGUAUGUAAAGCAUUGUGUAUAUCCGAGGUUACGCACAGUGCGUGAGGGCUGCACGACAGGAAAACCGAAAGUUAGAACUACGCAUCCUCGUUCUCAUGUCAACCAUCAGAGAGCCUUCAGGUGUAUUUUUGUCAAUAGUGACAGCACUAUUGGUGUCUGCUCUUCCUCUCUGCUUUCCAGUCAUGGCAGGUCAGCCCGCAGCUGUGCUUAUAUUUGUCUGCAUGCAUGCAGGCUGUGCUGCUAAUGUGACAACGGUCUUUUGCAACGACCAGCCCAUCUUUAACGGUGCGACCAAAAUGGCCCAUUGCUCAGGCCCACCAUCAAUCAAAACGGCGUGCCAGCUUGGUGGUCGGGUUUUCGUUACAACUUUUCCGAAUACUUCGUGUGAGAUUGAGGGGAAAUCUGGUUAUAUUUCGACGGUCAAAUGUACAGAACAGAUAAACAUUUGUUUUUUUCCUCAAGAUACUCCAAAGAGUGAAGAAAAUACAAGCGAGUUUCAUGUACCACUGGGAUGUACCCUGGCAGUAGUCUUAGUCUGUUUAGGAGUCAUUGCAUUGGUGGCUGUCGUCAGACGGAGAAACAGAUGUAACAGAGGGCAGAAUCAGGAGGGUGGACAACCAGUGUGAGAUCCAGACAUUUGGCAGGGGUGCAUCCCGGACAGGUUGCUCAUCUACUACUACAGCUACAGAUCCACCUCCGGAGGACCUCCUAUGCUUCGCUGAGACAUGGUACCAGCCCAAUCGGAUUUCACAUCCCUCAGUGAAGUACCGCCAGUGAGGCUUCACAUUCACUUCACAACCAGUGGGACUGCGGCCUCGACCAGAGAGGGGGUGGCCAUGCAACGGUUUUCAGCAACACCCCUCCCACCUACUACAUAUUAUUAUUGUUUUCAUGUUUAUUUUGUUGUAUUUAGUAUUCCAAA